rnacentral:misc_RNA from 1 species
GAUGAAGAACGUAGCGAAAUGCGAUAAGUAGUGUGAAUUGCAGAAUUCAGUGAAUCAUCGAAUCUUUGAACGCACAUUGCGCCCUUUGGUAUUCCUUAGGGCAUGCCUGUUCGAGCGUCAUUUAAACCUUCAAGCUAAGCUUGGUGUUGGGUGACUGUCCGCUUCACUGCGGACUCGCCUCAAAAUUAUUGGCGGCCGGUACAUUGGCUUCGAGCGCAGCAGAAACGCGAACUCGGGCCCGUCGUAUUGGCUCCCAGAAGCUAUCUUCACAAUUUUGGCCUCGGAUCAGGUAGGGAUACCCGCUGAACUUAAGCAUAUCAAUAAGCGGAGGA